rnacentral:piRNA from 1 species
ACCCCAGAUAGACAUCAGGCUGCUCCU